UUCAAACAGCUGUGCGCACGAAACACACAAGAGCGCUCGCUGUUUUUCUUUUUGGGGGGAAUAGCGAACGGCACGACAUGCCGUGCACGUUCGGUUCUGAUCGGAAUAGAUCGCGGUUCUCGUUCGCGUAGUCGCAAGUUGGCGCCGCCGCCGCCGCCACAAAAGUAGACAGCAAUACGCCGGCGAGCUGCAGUCUUUGAGAAGCGCGCGCAUUUGAAGGUUUAGUAGGCGGCUAGUGUCGAAACAAGCAAACGAUUACCUAUAAGAACGGACGGUCCGAUCGGUCGGUCGGUUGGUAAAGUGCACAAUAAAAAUUAGUUAAAAUCUAAUGCGAAUACGGAUAUCAGUGUUGAAAAUAAUCAGAAAUUAGUAGUUAUAUGAAAUAUAUGCAACGUCUAAGUGAAAGCGCAGUGCGACUUCAGCAAGAAAGUGUUAAUUUUAACGAGAAUAAUUACAUACAUAAUUAUGCUGUUGGUUUAGAACCAAGCAAACGCGGUGUGCAAUAAAUAUUUACAGUUAUGUAUUAGGUAGUAAAAAAAUACCGUUUAGUGUGUGCGAAAGGCUUUAAUGCUCGUUGAAAACAAAUGUGAUUGCGAUCCAAGAUCCAUAGUGUAAAAUUCGUCUAUGAACAUUGUGUGAUAUUGCAUCAACUGUCUAGUAUUGUUGCUAACUUUAAUGUUGUUACAUAAGCAAUUGUUGCUGCCAAACUUCUUACAGUCAAAUAGUAAAUAAGCGUGCUCUCAUGGUUAUGGCCGUGAUUCUGUUGGUCGCAAUCGCUAUACUUUUGGCUUUCUACUGCAACUUUCAUGUAGGCAAAGGAGCAACUGCCUAUCUGAAGCCCCUGCUGACACGCUACCUCAGUCGCAAUGGGAGGCUAGCCGCUGUCGACACCAGCUUGUUCAGACCAGAGGAUGACUUUUAUCAUGCCAUGGAAAUUCCACGCACUCGCGGUGUCUGGGAUAUUCCAGGGCCAUUGCCAAUACCGUUUCUCGGCACAAAAUGGGUAUUCUUCGUGUUCUUUCGCAAAUACAAAAUGUCGUUGAUGCACGAGAUGUAUGCGGAUUGGCAUCGCAAAUACGGUGAAAUUGCUUUAGAAGUGCUGACCUCUGGCUUGCCGAUUGUGCAUUUAUUCAAUAGGAAUGAUCUGGAAAAGGUGUUGAAAUAUCCCAGCCGUUACCCGUUUCGGCCGCCUACUGAUAUUGUCGUGAUGUAUCGGUUAUCGCGACCAGAUCGGUAUUCCAGUUUGGGCAUCGUGAAUGAACAAGGCACCACCUGGCAGAAACUACGCGCCUCACUCACCUCUUAUAUUACCUCGCCACGCAUACUGUACAACUUUCUGCCAGCCUUAAAUGUGGUGUGUGAUGAUUUCAUUGAACUUUUGCGCCAACAACGCGUUCCCGACACGCUCGAGGUGCACAACUUUGAGGACAUCGCAAAUUUGAUGGGCUUGGAAGCGGUGUGCACGCUCAUGCUGGGGCGUCGUAUGGGUUUUCUGGACAAAAGUGGUCAGCAACCGGAAAGAAUUCGGCAACUCGCGAGUGCGGUUAAGCAACUUUUCAUAUCACAACGGGAUUCCUAUUAUGGCUUGGGACUGUGGAAGUAUUUGCCGACGAAAACCUACACAGAAUUCGUGCGUGCCGAGGAGAUUAUCUACGAUGUUAUUUCCGAGAUGGUCGAAAUGGCACUGAAAGAGGACUACCUCACAUCGGCGGGCGAUGAAAGUGAGGCGGCUUUACGCAGCAUAUUCUUGAAUAUAUUGGAACUUAAGGAUCUUGAUAUACGUGAUAAGAAAUCGGCAAUUGUCGACUUUAUAGCGGCGGGCAUUGAAACGCUUGCCAACACAGUGCUAUUUGUGCUCAGCUCUGUGACCAACGAUGAGGGCGUAAUUUCUGGCAUACUGGCCGACUUUUGUGAAUACCGUAAGACGACGAUCACAAAAGAGGCAAUCGCCAAGGCGGACUACACCAAAGCUUGUAUACAGGAAUCGUAUCGCAUUAGGCCAACGGCUUUCUGUUUGGCGCGCAUACUUGAGGAGAAUAUGGAAUUGUCGGGCUAUCAGCUCAAAGCCGGCGUAGACGGUUGUGCUUUGUCAGAACAUGAUUGCCUGUAACAACGACGCCAAUUUUCCUAAUGCCAAAGAAUAUCGACCCGAGCGUUGGCUCGACGAGAAGCGUCAAUUUACGGUCAAUGUGCCGAAUGCAUGUAUUGUCGUGCCAUUUGGCAUCGGAAGACGAACCUGUCCGGGCAAGCGAUUUGUAGAAAUGGAGGUGAUGCUGUUGUUGGCUAAGCUUUUGCUCGCGUUCGAAAUCAAAUUCAAAGAGCCGUUGCAAACGGAAUUUGAGUUUCUGCUUGCGCCUAAAACGCCACUAACUUUAAUUAUGAGAGAUCGCGUCUACUGAACGAUCGCACUGCAAGCACGAACACACACGCACGCAUACAUAAGUGAGCGCUGCUUUCAGCGUACUAUGGAGUGCCAAACCGACAUUCGCGCAGCUUUUGUGAAAUAUUUGUAAAUUUUUUAACAAAAACGAGACAACUCUUUAAGAAAUGUUUUUUAGUAAUAUAAUAAAACAAAAUGACGAAGGUUGUAAAUACUUAAAUUUUGUUAUACACACACAUACAUACAUAUAUACACGCAUAGUUACAAUUGUGAGCAUUUUUGCGUAACGAAAGACUGUCUUAAUUUUAAAUUGUAUUUAUAAUCUUAACGAGGAAAAGUUGCAAUAUUUACCCAAAAAUUAAAAAAAAAAAACGUGUUAAUAAAAUUGUAAAUGUGUAUAUAAACACUAA